rnacentral:lncRNA from 1 species
GGAGGGAAUUUGGAAGAAUUGUGGAUGAGACAGAGGAAGAAAUUUACUUUUCACUGUAUACCCUUUUAAAUUAUAUGAAUUUUUAAAACCUUGUGCAUGUAUUACUCAUUCAAAAUAAAUUCUGACUUACCAAAGAAAAAUCCACAUUCAUUUAGCAAACAUUUAUUAGGCAGUUACUAGACAGCAGACUCUCUGCUGGGCUCAGUAAGAGAAACAAGGAAUUCACAAUGGGGUUGAAUAACCUGGCACAUGCAACAUGUUAUAAUUAGUGGUUGGGAAACAGCUUCCAGGAGGAAUCAAAGUCAAGACUGAGACCUGGGACCUUGGACUAAGGAAUAGACUUAAUCCAAGUAAGUGGGCAAAGGAAGCCUUUUAGAGAAAGAGCAUCACAAACAAAGGCUCAGAUGGAGAGAACACGUUGCGAGUAGGCUUCCUGUCCCUGAGGAUGGGGGUGAGGUGGUGAGCAGUGCCUCCCUCUGCUUUCUCCCAGGCACCAAUCUACUUGAUUUUGUGGGUGCUGUUUGUUCAGUCCAUGAAUCAUGGUUUGAUUGUAGUAUCACUGCAUGUUUCUCAGAUUUAAGGGGAAAAUUUUCAUCCAACUUGUAAAGAUCUUGGUCUCAUCAUCAGAGUAACUUGGCUCCUCCAUCAAUCACUGAAUGCAAGACUUUGCCUUCAUUUCUUCUCUGUCAUAGCAGAUGUAGGGUUGGUCAUCCACGAAGUCACUGGCAGUAAACGCAGGGACUCCUGUACCUGGCUCAGACACAGCCGAGUAGAAAUACUGCAGAGAGUGUGAUCCUGAGGUGGGAACCAGAGACAGUGGAUCAGAGUCAGUUCUAGUAUUCACGAGUGAGUACCCAGUUCACAACGUGCGGGGAAUGAGUGUAUAUGUCUGUGUGUGGGUGGGUGUGAGUGUGUCUAAUAGGAGAGAAAGGACACACGACAUAAAACAACGGGAAGACACCUGCACAAUGACCUCCUGCACAAGUGAAUACAAAUUCCACACAGAGUAUGCACUGAGAGAAUUCAAAGAAACAGAAAUAAAUGUUACUGCCAUGCCUCAAUAAGAGAAGUUCCAUGAAGAAGUCGUUCUUGAAUAGGGCUUGGACAAGUGGAGGGAUGUGGAGUAGGGGAGAAGUUUUAGUAUCUUCUCACCGCUUAGAUUGAGGAGUAAGGGAACUGGAAAUAG